GGGAUUGCAGCUCUCUUAGUGCCCCAAAGCCUGCUGAGCCCCCUUAAGCUGGAGGCAGACCCCAAGAUCCAGGCUGUGCACACAUAGGAGAAGGAGUUCAAGAAUCUUAACAGCAAAUUUACCUCCUUUACCAAGCAGGUGAAUGGGAUUCUGGAGACUGAAUGGAGCCUGGAGCAAUAGUUGAAAGCGGCUUGGAGCCCGCGGCUAAGGCGGCAGAGAGCUGCAUGGCCUUGGGUGGCGGCUGCUGGCCUGGCCCGGGAGAAGCCGCGGCCCAGGAGGAGAGCUGCGGGCCCAGGAGGAGAGCUGCGGGGCCCAGGAGGAGAGCUGCGGGGCCCAGGAGGAGAGCUGCGGGGCCCAAGAGGUGAGCUGCGGGCCCAGGAGGAGAGCUCGGGCCCAGGAGGUGAGCUGCGGGGCCCAGGAGGUGAGCUGCGGGGCCCAGGAGGAGAGCUCGGGCCCAGGAGGAGAGCUGCGGGCCCAGGAGGAGAGCUGCGGGCCCAGGAGGUGAGCUGCGGGCCCAGGAGGAGAGCUCGGGCCCAGGAGGUGAGCUGCGGGCCCAGGAGGAGAGCUGCGGGCCCAGGAGGAGAGCUGCGGGGCCCAGGAGGAGAGCUGCGGGGCCCAGGAGGAGAGCAGCGGGGCCCAAGAGGUGAGCUGCGGGCCCAGGAGGAGAGCUCGGGCCCAGGAGGUGAGCUGCGGGGCCCAGGAGGUGAGCUGCGGGGCCCAGGAGGAGAGCUCGGGCCCAGGAGGAGAGCUGCGGGCCCAGGAGGAGAGCUGCGGGCCCAGGAGGUGAGCUGCGGGGCCCAGGAGGAGAGCUCGGGUUCAGGAGGUGAGCUCGGGCCCAGGAGGAGAGCUGCGGGGCCCAGGAGGAGAGCUGCGGGGCCCAGGAGGAGAGCUGCGGGCCCAGGAGGAGAGCUCGGGCCCAGGAGGAGAGCUGCGGGCCCAGGAGAUUUUGCUGACAAGUACAGAUAUGAUAAAUCCAGCUUUAUGUCAUCAUCACUCCUCCAUGAAUUUGAAGGCUAGAUAAAGCAUUCAGUGCCUGAGCAUUAACACCCAUUAUCUUCAGCCCCUGUUGCCACAUGGCACAACUUAUUUUCACUUCACCAGCUUACAAAUUCAGCUGUCCUCCCAACAAACUUGGCAGGCUCAUCCCAUUUCUCAGAAGAGAUUUAAUAGCAGUGAGUUCAUGUACUACAAAGACUUCAUUACUUUUAUUAGCUUUCCGUGCUCCCUGCUUACUGGUGCACUGAGAGGUCUUACUGAAUAAUCCAUAGUUGUCAGAAAUAUAAAUGUGCCCUAGCAUCGUACAGCUUUAAUUCUACUUAUUUUAUUUUCUUAUUUAGGACAUUUUGGAAGAGAUUAGAUAGAGUUCCUUCUGUUGAGGAAUUUGCUGCCGAGUGGUGGAGGCUUAUGUCCAAUUUAUGAGUAGAGUGGAAUAUCCAAUUUUCACGUGCCUAUGACACCUGAGAAAAUGCAUUCAUAAUGCCAAGUGCUGAUUCCUCUUGCUUUUCAAGCUCAGGCAAAUUUUUUGGUAGAAAAUAAUUUAUUUACUACUUCAUUUAACCAAAUAUUCUCUAUCUUAGACAAGUCAAAUACGUUUGAGUACCUUUCUUUAAUUAUGCAUAAAUUGUGCCUAGAUAUCUUUUAAUUUUUUUAUUUUAAUUUUUUUCUUUUUCUUUUUUUGGAAAGAUUUUAUAUAUUUAUUUGAGAGAGAGAGAGAGUGCAUGCACGAGUGUGCGCACACAGUUAGGUGGGUGGAGGGCAGAGGGAGCGGAAGAAGCAGGAAGCCGUCUCAAGGCAUACUCAGGAUGCUGGGAUCACUACCAGAACCUGCUUAAACAACCGAGACAUCCAGGCACUCCUUAGUUUUUAUCAAAUUCUAUUUUGUUUUUUAUUUUUUUAAGAUUGUAUUUAUUUAUUUAUCAAUUAAUAAAUUAAAUUACUUAAUUUUAUUAAUAAUAAAUUAUUAAUUUUAGAGAGAGACCAUGCAUGUGCCUGUGUGGGGGAGGAGGAGUGUGGGGGGGUGGGCAGUGGGGCAAGUGGACUCCAUGCUGAGCACGACCUGCCAUGGGGCUUGAUCUCACAACCCUGAGAUCACGACCAGCACCAAAACCAAGUCUGGUACUCAACAGAUGGAGCCACCCAGGUGCCCCUAAAUAUCUUUUUUUAAAAAACACCACGAGCAAAACUAUUGGAGAGUAUUUUGUAAAAUAUUGGGUUGCUUAUUAAAUCUGUAUUAUUUAUUUAUGUGCUCGCUUCGGCAGCACAUAUACUAAAUCUAUACUAAUUUAACUAUGAUUAGUUGUAGUAUAAGCAUAUACAUACGAACAGAAUAAGACAGGGGAGAAAGAACAAGUAGAAGUAGAGUUUGUCCAGUUAAGAUCCAUACCAAUAAAUCAGAAUACCCAACAACAGUUGCACAAAAUCUUUCAAUUGUCUUAGGCUUUAGUAUUAUUUAUAUAAAGGAAAAAGGGGGUGCCUGGGUGGCUCAGUUGAUUAGGUGGCUGACUCUUAUUUCAUUUUUUUACGGUUUUAUGUAUUUACUCAUGAGAGACACAGGCAGAGGAAGAAACAGGCUCCAUGCAGGGAGUGAAUGCGGGACUGGAUCCCGGGACCCUGAGGUUCCGCCAGUCCCGCCCUAGGCCGAAGGCAGCCGCUCAAGCCCUGAGCCCCCCAGGGGCCCAGGCAGCUGACUCUUGAUUUUGGCUCAGGUCAUGAUCUCAGGGUCAUAGGAUUGAGUCCUGCAUCAGGCUCCGAACCGCUGUGGCAUUUGCUUAAGAUUCUCUCUCCCUCCCAUAAAAUAAAGGCCAGAAACUGGACUGACCUCAGGACUAAGCAAGUAUAGAGUAUCUGACAACUCAUGGAUUAUCUUUCUUAUGUAAUCGAUAUCUCUCUGGGAUUUCCCUUAUAAAACAAAGAAGGAUUAUGCGAAAGCACACAUUUUUUGAAUGAGAAAUAAAGACGGAAUCUCUCUAAGGGGCGCCUGGAUGGCUCAGGGGCUGAGCCUCUGCCUUGGGCACAGGGCCUGACCCCGGGGUCAUGGGAUGGAGCCCCCCCCCCCCAGUUGGGCUCCCUGCAUGGAGCCUGCUCCUCCCUCUGCCUGGGUCUCUGCCUCUGCGUGUCUCUCAUGAAUAAAUAAAUAAAAUCUUAAAAAAUAAUAAAAUAAAAUCUUGUUAAGAAGAAAACAUCUGGCGAACCCCAAAGGGAAGGAAGCAGGGAAAGAUUGUUCAUCUCCCUCGAUAAUGCUUCUGUAUCACAGCUGAAUUUCUUACAAGAAUCUCCUAUAUUUAAAAAAAAAAAAAAAAAAGAAUCGCCUACCUAGUGGUUCCCUCUUUUAUAUUUAUUUAUUUAUUUAUUUAUUUAUCUAUUUAUCUAUUUAUUUAUUUAGUGGUAUCUAUCAUCUAUCUAUCUAAUCUAUCUAUCUAUCAUCUAUCUGU
rnacentral:lncRNA from 1 species